AACGAACGCUGGCGGCAUGCCUAACACAUGCAAGUCGAACGGGAUCCUAGCUUGCUAGGUGAGAGUGGCGGACGGGUGAGUAACACGUGGGAAUCUGCCUUUUGGUUCGGGAUAACCGCGGGAAACUGCGGCUAAUACCGAAUGCCCUCGAGAGAGGAAAGAUUUAUCGCCAGAAGAGGAGCCCGCGUCCGAUUAGGUAGUUGGUGGGGUAAAGGCCUACCAAGCCGACGAUCGGUAACUGGUCUGAGAGGAUGAUCAGCCACACUGGGACUGAGAUACGGCCCAGACUCCUACGGGAGGCAGCAGUGGGGAAUAUUGGACAAUGGGGGCAACCCUGAUCCAGCAAUGCCGCGUGAGUGAUGAAGGCCUUAGGUUGUAAAGCUCUUUUGCCAGGGAAGAUGAUGACUGUACCUGGAGAAUAAGCCCCGGCUAACUUCGUGCCAGCAGCCGCGGU
rnacentral:rRNA from 1 species